UGCUCCCCCGCCAAUCCUUUUCCGGCAGGAUCAACCGGAUUCCGGUUGAUCCUGCCGGAGGUCAUUGCUAUUGGAGUCCGAUUUAGCCAUGCUAGUCGCGCGGGUUCAGACCCGCGGCAUAUAGCUCAGUAACACGUGGCCAAACUACCCUAUGGACAGGGACAACCUCGGGAAACUGAGGCUAAUCCCUGAUACAGCUCUCGUGCUGGAGUGCAGAGAGCUGGAAACGCUCCGGCGCCAUAGGAUGUGGCUGCGGCCGAUUAGGUAGAUGGUGGGGUAACGGCCCACCAUGCCAAUAAUCGGUACAGGUUGUGAGAGCAAGAGCCUGGAGACGGUAUCUGAGACAAGAUACCGGGCCCUACGGGGCGCAGCAGGCGCGAAACCUUUACACUGCACGACAGUGCGAUAAGGGGACUCCGAGUGCGAGGGCAUAUAGCCCUCGCUUUUCUGUACCGUAGGGAGGUACAGGAACAAGUGCUGGGCAAGACCGGUGCCAGCCGCCGCGGUAAUACCGGCAGCACGAGUGAUGACCGAUAUUAUUGGGCCUAAAGCGUCCGUAGCCGGCCAAACAAGUCCGUUGGGAAAUCCACGCGCUCAACGCGUGGGCGUCCGGCGGAAACUGUUUGGCUUGGGGCCGGAAGACCUGAGGGGUACGUCCGGGGUAGGAGUGAAAUCCUGUAAUCCUGGACGGACCACCGUUGGCGAAAGCGCCUCAGGAAGACGGACCCGACGGUGAGGGACGAAAGCUAGGGUCUCGAACCGGAUUAGAUACCCGGGUAGUCCUAGCUGUAAACGAUGCUCGCUAGGUGUGCCACAGGCUACGAGCCUGUGCUGCGCCCUAGGGAAGCCGAGAAGCGAGCCGCCUGGGAAGUACGUCUGCAAGGAUGAAACUUAAAGGAUUGGCGGGGGAGCA
rnacentral:rRNA from 1 species